rnacentral:rRNA from 1 species
ACAGAGGUUGCAAACGUUGUUCGGAAUUACUGGGCAUAAAGCGCACGUAGGCGGUUCGUUAAGUCAUGUGUGAAAUCCCUCGGCUCAACCGAGGAAUUGCGCCUGAUACUGGCGGGCUAGAGAUCGAUAGGGGUGAGUGGAACUCCAGGUGGAGCGGUGAAAUGCGUAGAUAUCUGGAGGAACACCGGUGGCGAAAGCGGCUCACUGGAUCGAUACUGACGCUGAGGUGCGAAAGCUAGGGUAGCAAACGGGA